CACGUAGGGCGCGAGCGUUGUCCGGAAUUAUUGGGCGUAAAGAGCUCGUAGGCGGCCUGUUGCGUCCGCUGUGAAAGUCCGGGGCUUAACCCCGAGUCUGCAGUGGAUACGGGCAGGCUAGAGGUAGGUAGGGGAGAAUGGAAUUCCCGGUGUAGCGGUGAAAUGCGUAGAUAUCUGGAGGAACACCGGUGGCGAAGGCGGCAUCCUGGACCGGCAUUGACGCUGAGGAGCGAAAGCCAGGGGAGCAAACGGG
rnacentral:rRNA from 1 species